rnacentral:rRNA from 1 species
UACGUAGGGGGCAAGCGUUGUCCGGAUUUACUGGGCGUAAAGAGCGUGUAGGCGGCCAAACAGGUCCGUUGUGAAAACUGGAGGCUCAACCUCCAGACGUCGACGGAAACCGUGUGGCUAGAGUCCGGAAGAGGAGAGUGGAAUUCCUGGUGUAGCGGUGAAAUGCGCAGAUAUCAGGAAGAACACCCGUGGCGAAGGCGGCU